ACCUCUUUGUGAGUUCAAGAAAAACUAUGUUCUAAAUAUCUUUUCUUUCUCCCUAAAAGCUUUAGUUACUAUAUUCAUAUCAUAAUUUCCCACAUAGAUACGAGUAUGCUCUACACCUGCCUCAAAUGAGGAUCUUGUGUAUCAGAAAACAUCUGACCUUCGAUCCAUAUUACGGUCCUCAAUAUUAUGGAAUAUCAGUUUUAAUUUAUAGUCCGUGUUAUGCCUAUAGUUGGCUAUUUGAUGACGAUUCAGUUAAGAUUGGUUUCAUAAUAUGUGAGGCUCUCGGCCAGUAUGGUAUCAGAGUCUCGUUAAGAAGAAGGGAUGCAUAUGGUGUGAAUAUAGUAAAGAGAGUGAGUAAGGGAGAAAACCACUUAAACACUACUAAACGAUAUCAAUUUCUUAUGAAAUUGAGAUACGACUUUGAAGUAUCUACUUCAAUAUGAUGCAUAUGAACCUAAUACCGUCUCAAUGACAUCAUUGAAGAACAAAAAUAAUCUAUUGUGCUUUUGUUGUAAGCACUUUGGAGAUUAUGCCUUCAAAUUUCCAAAAAACUUUUGCAAUUACUGCAAAAAGGAUAGACACAUUAUUAAAGAGUGUCAACUACACUAGUAAUGCAUCAGCUUUCACAACCUAGGUUGAUUCGUCUACUGCUGUCCAACAAUAUGUGUCUGCUGCUGUCCAGACUUUGACCCUUCAAAUGGUUCGCAAAAUGAUCAUUUCAUCGUUCUCUACUUUGGGAUUCUCAAGAUCAACACUCAACACUCAGGGACAAUAAUCGUGAAGGGAUCUAAAGUUGAAUGUCUCUUUCCACUCAAUUUAUCUUUGUUUCUAAGUCUUUCUUUACCUUCUAUUUUGUUCAAUUCUACAACCAUUGAUUAUCAAGUGUGGCAUAAACGUCUUGGUCAUCCAAAUUUUAAUGUACUCCAUGAGAUGCUAAAAUUUGGUUUUCUUGGAAAUAAAUAAACAUACUCCAUCUCUUGAUGCUAUUUGUUUUGACUUCAUUCCUGGUAAGCUUGGCAAAAGUAAAAUUCUUCCUUUUCCAACACAUCAACUGAAUGUAACACAACCUUUUGAUAUUAUCCAUAGUGAUGUUUGGGGAGUGACACCAAUUAUAUGUCAUGCAAAUUACAAAUAUUGUGUAUCUUUUAUCAAUGAUUAUAGUCUACUUACAUGGUCUAUUUUCUUCGCUCGAAAGAUGAAAUUUUUUCCACUUUUAAAUUUUAAAUUUUUUGAUGCUUAUGUUCAAACCCAAUACUUACUACUAUACUACGACUAACUUGUGGUGAUACAACUACUUAUGGGAAUACUCACCACUAUAAAUUGGCAUGAUACGACCCAAUCCAAUUUAAUAGCGGCGAAUCUUACUCGAUGACCGCUAGUAUUGACUGGUUCGGCCGUGAGCAACAACGACGAUGAUUUUCCAAUAUUUGGCAACAGCAACGGCGGAGGCCGCGGUAAGGGUAACGACAACAGCAAUGGCGGAGGCCGCGAUAACGGAAACAACAACGGUGGGGACCGCUGUAACGACAAUGGCAGCAGAUGAGGCCGAGACAACAAUGGUGGAUGGUGUCGCAAUGGUAACAGCGGCACUGGUGAUGCCAACGGUGAUCUCGAUCUCGAUCUUCUGAAAGAAACCAGGCUUUUGUGAGUUUGAUUGGGCCUCAGACCUAGAUGACAGAAGAUCAACCUCAGGAGCAUGUAUUUAUCUAGGUUAAAACCUUGUAUCAUGGUGUUCCAUAAAAUAGAAUUUAGUUGCCCGUUCUAGUGCAAAAGCAGAAUACAUAACCCUUGUCACUUUAUCUACUGAAAUUCUCUGGCUUAAAUCUCUUCUCUCUUAGCUACACUUUAAGUUUCACACUCCUUAAAUACUAUGCGACAAUUUAAGCACAACCUCUUUGACACACAAUCCAAAUCUCCAUUGCAGAACAAAACACAUGGAGCUUGACAUAUUCUUUGUCGGAGAGAAAGUAAUGAACAAAAGUUUAGUAGUGUCUCACGUUCCAGCUCAAGACCAAUGGGCAUAUGUGCUCACCAAAUCUCUAUCUGCAACUUGUUUCAUCAAUCUCAGAGGCAAACUGAGGGUCUUUGACGAAUCCAUAGUUAAACAGGAACCUCCUGUUUAAGGGGAUAUGUUAGAGAUAUUCUCAGUUAAGGUAUGACAGUUGGCGCCUGUGCCAGCUGACAUGCAGUUAGUUUCUGUUAUAAUAGUAUGUAGUUAGUUCCUGUUAUAACAGUAAUAGAUUGUUAAUCUCGUAUAGUGACGCGUAGCGCCGAACCCCCAAAAUACUAUAGUGGCAUAGCGGAUAGCGGAAUGACCGCUAUUAUGAAGACUAAAAAAAUGUACAUAGUAAGCAUAAUUUCUAACAGUAUGUAUACCCCUAUCAAAAUGAGUUCCCAUCAAAAUCAAAUUGUAAAAGUAGUCAAAAUGACUAAACCAAGUUCUAAACUUAAACAAAAUGAAAUUUCUAAAUCACAUUCGUGUUUUCCUCGUCUUCACUUGAUUCAAACUCUUGUUUUUGCACCCCAACU